GACUGAAACACAAUAAGCACUUUUAUUGCUCCUAAAGUCUUCGACUUGGCCGCAGUGCUGGGCUCAGCUGGCCUCGCUCAUAUGUCUUUAUAGCUACUCUUCUCAAGUGGUGGACUCAGUUUCCCCACCUCUGAAUCUGGGUGAGCCCUGGGACUCCCUUUGGCCAGUAGAAGGUAGCCGAAGUGGCUGCGUGCGGAUCAGCUGGAGCUGGCUGGUCUAGGAUGGCCUGGUUUGGGACCCCUGAACUCUCCUUCUCAUGGUCUCUGCUUGUCCAGCAGGCUGGCCUGGGCUUUCUCCCGGGCAGAGGCGGAGGUCCGAAGCAAAGGAGCAGCACGCAGGUUCUCUUCAGGUGGAGGAAAGCAGAGGCGUCAGCUCAGACUAUGCCUUUUUCACAUAAAAAAUGAUUUUCAGCUGAAGGCAAUUAAGAAGCAGAAAGUGCAGGAAAAGUUCAGGUUUCCCUCCCCUUUUCUGCCUAAAGGCACGAUAUAAACUCUCCAUCACUGGACACAACCCUUGACUCAGAGGUGGUACCAGAGGCUGCUGCAGACAAAUCCUGUUGCAUCAGCUUCCUCUCGGAUAUUUACCAUCCCAUAGUUUACCACCUUUGGAAGCCUAAAACUGUUGUCCUUGGUCAUCCUAUCUCUACAAAUUUAUUGUAUUUUUUAAAAAUGCUGUGUAAGACAGUGUUCCAAGCCAUCACUUUGUUACUUUUCAUUGAGGCUUAUCCUGAGUGAUGUUGGCUGCCUGUGUUAACAAACUGUUUUUCGCCAGGUACAGUGGCUCAUGCCUGUAAUCCUAGCACAUUGGGAUUACAGACAUGAGCUACCAUGCCUGCGCCCAGAAAUAAUGUUCUCUACCCAUUCACAAGGGCAUAACCCGCACGGCGUAAUUUACUUUCCAUCAAGCCUCACCUCACAACACUGGGGAUCAAGGUUCCAACUUUGGGAGACACAAUCAAAUCACAGCAGAGCCCCAGCUGAAAACCUAAGACAGGUGGAGGUAAAGUUUUGCUUCCAAGGCCUAUGCUUCAAACUGGCUCACAGGAAGUUGCACUACACUUGUCUACAGGACAAAGCAAGUCACAGGACCAGCCUGGAUUCAGAGGUGGAGAAACAGACUCUACUUCUUGAUGGCAGGAGCCAUGGUCACACAGCACAGAGUGUCAACACAGCAAACCACUAACAGUGGUCAAUGCAGUCACCCCCACAGCAACCCAGAGCUCUGUGCCCUGUCACAGCAUUGGGCAGUCCCCAGUGAUUAAACCUUCCUGUUGGGACUGCACUCUCACAGAGAUAUAAGACAUACGUGAUCAGCACAAGUAUGUACCUACCCAGCCCUGGCUUUACUGUGCCUAGUCAGCCAGGCCACUUUCUUUGUCCUGAAAGCUGACCUGGGUUCACUGUGAGGCUUGACUGUACUGCCCAUGCGCAGAGAGCAAAUUCAGGAGCCAGUCAAGCAUGUCCUGACACCUUGGGAGUCAGGGGAGAAUGGAUGGGUCAUACAACAAAGGACUUGGAUACCAAGAGGCCAUUAAUUGCAGCCAUCAAUAAAAUUUGUGACCUAAACAGGGGCAAAUGAAGCUUGUUGGGCAUGCUGGCUGGGCAUGAGAUGGAGUCUUGCUCUGUCAUCCAGGCUGGAGUGCAGUGGCAUUAUCUCGGCUCACUGCACUGUCCGCCUCCUGGAUUCAAGGGAUUCUCCUGCCUCAGCCUCCUGAGUAGCUGGAAUUACAGGUGUGCACCACCACACCCGGCUAAUUUUUUUUAUUUUUAGUAGAGAUGGGGUUUCACCAUGUUGGCCAGGCUGGUCUCAAACUCCUGACCUCAAGUGAUCCACCUGCCUCAGCCUUCCAAAAUGCUGGGAUUACAGGCAUGAGCCACCACGCCUGGCUUGUGGUUGAAAUCUUAACCCACAAUAUGAUGGUGUUGGGAUGUGGAGCCUUUGGGAGGUGAUUAGAUAAUGAAGGUGGAGACCUCAAGAAUGGGAUUAGUGACAUUCUUUAAAAGGCCCUGGAGACUGGGUACAGUGGCUCAUGCCUGUAAUCUCAGCACUUUGGGAGGCUGAGGCUGGGGGUGUCCUGGGGCUACCACAGGGAAGGACCCGGCGCAGAGCUCCCUCUGGAACCCGGCACUGCGGCCCGCGCCCUCUACUCCCCGCGCGCCGGCCGGCAACCCUCGGCGCUGCCCGGUGCAGCCCGCCCGAGCGCACACAAU
rnacentral:lncRNA from 1 species